rnacentral:rRNA from 1 species
CCCUAGUACGGCGAGUGAGAGGGAAGAGCCCAAGAUUGAAAGCUGGCGCCUUCGGCGUCCGCAUUGUAAUCUCAAGAAGUGUUUUCCGCUUCGGACCAUGCCUAAGUCCCUUGGAAAAGGGCAUCAUAGAGGGUGAUAAUCCCGUACAUGGCAUGGAGCGCCCGAAGCUUUGUGAUACGCUUUCUAAGAGUCGAGUUGUUUGGGAAUGCAGCUCAAAAUGGGUGGUAAAUGCCAUCUAAGGCUAAAUAUUGGGGAGAGACCGAUAGCGAACAAGUACAGUGAUGGAAAGAUGAAAAGAACUUUGAAAAGAGAGUUAAACAGUACGUGAAAUUGCCAAAAGGGAAGGGUAGGAGGUCAGAGAUGCGUCGCAGGAUUCAGCCUUGCUUUUGCUUGGUGUUUUUCCUGCGUUGCAGGCCAACGUCGGUUUUGGGCACUGGAGAAGGGUAGGAGGAACGUGGCACCUCUCGGGGUGUGUUAUAGCCUCCUACUGGAUACAGCGACCGAGACCGAGGAACGCAGCGUACUCGUAAGAGCGGGCCUUUUGGCACCUUUACGCUUAGGGCGUUGGCAUAAUGGCCCUCUACCACCC